GACGUAGGGCGCGAGCGUUGUCCGGAUUUAUUGGGCGUAAAGAGCUCGUAGGCGGCUUGUUGCGUCGACUGUGAAAACCUGGGGCUCAACUCUGGGCGUGCGGUCGAUACGGGCAUCACUAGAGUUCGGCAGGGGAGACUGGAAUUCCUGGUGUAGCGGUGAAAUGCGCAGAUAUCAGGAGGAACACCGGUGGCGAAGGCGGCUCACUGGCCCCGAUACUGACGCUGAGGCACGAAAGCGUGGGGAGCAAACAGG
rnacentral:rRNA from 1 species